rnacentral:misc_RNA from 1 species
AACACAUUGAACAUCGACACCUUGAACGCAAAUGGCGGCCUCGGGUCCAUCCCCGAGGCCACGCCCGUCUGAGGGUCGGCUAGAU